AAAAAAUCAGAACCAACUUUUCUUAGUACACAGGUUAAAGAACAGC
rnacentral:misc_RNA from 1 species